GGCCGAUUAAAAAGAAAUUGACUAGCCCAGACUCGCACCCUUCUGCAGCUCAAAGGGGAUGGUGCUCUUUCUACACCCCCAAACGGGGCAAGCUGGGGCUUGUACACGCUGAUCUGGCCAAGAAGAGUCUCAGCCGGUUUAUUUUUCAGCCUGUAGAGGAUUAUCGGGGAAUUGUUGAUCCGCCCGCCAGGUGAGUAUUUGCACCAGCAAUGAGCCAGAUCCCCAGCUGGUGUAGACAGACCUAAGUGGGGCUACAUCUGAUGGACACGGCAGCUGGGGAUCUGCACCUGCGGACUCUCCUGGAGCUGGGGAGAUGGAAUUUUUAUGACGCCACUGAACGUGCUGGUUGUUCGUGUGGAUGAAGAGAACAAUGGGAGGGGGGAAAUGUACGAUACCUCCCCGCCCCCGAUUGCUACAUCUCGGAUUCCGGAUCCAAUGGGGAGCACGGAGCGGGCAGGAGGCCAGGCUGGUGCCUCUGCCUGGAAUUGGCACCGUGAGUCUGACCCAGCAGCGACACCCAGCUGGAGAAGCACUGAGGAUGCUGGGACCAGGCUGCAGGGAGCCAUGGAGCUUGGCGAUAAGAGAGGGGGGAAGGAAAUUGUUUUCUGCCUGUGGCGGCUUUGAGUUGCUACACAGAGAACGCCGGAUCUGCAGCUGACCACAAGAAGAACUAACACGUGAAAGCUUACAAAGAAAUCAACAAUGCAAGAGCCUGGGUUUGAUCCCAUCUUGUCACCCUCCAAGUAAUGCAAGACUGUUCCGUACAGUUGAUUCUCCAGGGCUUCGCCCAGUCCCAUUUAAGCCAUUCCACUAAUGGAGACUGCUUCCCCGGAGAGAAUGUGCCACAGCCUGAUGGAUCAAUCUCACCCCUCCAAGCACUCCCACCCCCUGAGUCUUGUCACUUGUUCCCAUGACUCCCGUACACGUUGUUCACCCACGUUACACACGUUUUCCUCUCCAUCUCAUUAGUCAAAUGAUCCACGAACCAGGGGAAGAUCUGGUCAGAGCUAGUAGGCCUGCUCUGAGCAGGCCUAUUAGCUCAGACCCCACUCAGAAUGCUCCCCUGGGAUGUGGAAGAUGUAGGUUCAAUUCCCCCUUUGCCCAAGGGGGAGGAUAAUAUUUGAACAGGGUUUCCCCACCACUCAGGUGAGUGCACUGAGCUAUGGGAUAUGCUGAUGUGGAGCUUCCCCUGAAGCUGUUCCACUGUGGAGAAAUAACUAAAGAGUCAUUGGGCCAGAGAGUGAAUAAGAGAGCAAAUGACACUAAAGCUUCAUCAUUAGUGAACCGCCUAAGAAGAUGGGAGACGGCGGGUCUAGUCCCCCUGCUCCAAUUCUUCAUACAAAGUGGAACUGAGUCUGCAGCCCCUAAGCAUUACUGGGUUUUUUUUAAAGAAGCCUGCAGCAUUGAUGGAAGCAAAGAAAACCUCCCAGACAAGAACCGAGUCCACAUUCGGUGGUGACGUCUGCGUGAGUCCGCAAACAGCUGGCCGGGCCUCAUUUCUAAUUUGAAGUUGCUUUGUUUAACUUCCAGCCCUUGGUUCUUGUUCCACCUUCCGCCAGUAGAGUCACGAUUUAGCACCUGGUAAUUUCUCUCCAGGAUGGUACAUAUACACUGUGAUCACGUCACCUCUUGAUCUUAACGUGAACAAACUUGAGCCCUCAAUCUCUCACUGUAUGGCAUUUUUUUCCAGCCCCUGAAUAAUUUUUAGGCUAAUCUCUUCACCCUCUCCAAAUUUUCAACUUCCUUUUUAAAAUGUUGACACCACAGCUGGGCGGAGUAUUCACCAAUGGCCCGUACGGAGCUUA